rnacentral:rRNA from 1 species
AAUCCGGGGUUUCAAGGCCGAGAGCUGAUGACGAGUCGUCUUUUAGAUGACGAAGUGGUUGAUGCCAUGCUUCCAAGAAAAGCUUCUAAGCUUCAGGUAACCAGGAACCGUACCCCAAACCGACACAGGUGGUCGGGUAGAGAAUACCAAGGCGCUUGAGAGAACUCGGGUGAAGGAACUAGGCAAAAUGGCACCGUAACUUCGGGAGAAGGUGCGCCGGCUAGGGUGAAGGAUUUACUCCGUAAGCUCUGGCUGGUCGAAGAUACCAGGCCGCUGCGACCGUUUAUUAAAAACACAGCACUCUGCAAACACGAAAGUGGACGUAUAGGGUGUGACACCUCCCCGGUGCCGGAAGGUUAAUUGAUGGGGUUAGCGCAAGCGAAGCUCUUGAUCGAAGCCCCGGUAAACGGCGGCCGUAACAAUAACGGUCCUAAGGUAGCGAAAUUCCUUGUCGGGUAAGUUCCGACCUGCACGAAUGGCGUAACGAUGGCGGCGCUGCCUCCACCCGAGACUCAGUGAAAUUGAAAUCGCUGUGAAGAUGCAGUGUAUCCGCGGCUAGACGGAAAGACCCCGUGAACCUUUACUGUAGCUUUGCACUGGACUUUGAGCCUGCUUGUGUAGGAUAGGUGGGAGGCUUUGAAGCGUGGACGCCAGUUCGCGUGGAGCCAUCCUUGAAAUACCACCCUGGCAUGCUUGAGGUUCUAACUCUGGUCCGUAAUCCGGAUCGAGGACAGUGUAUGGUGGGCAGUUUGACUGGGGCGGUCUCCUCCCAAAGAGUAACGGAGGAGUACGAAGGUGCGCUCAGACCGGUCGGAAAUCGGUCGCAGAGUAUAAAGGCAAAAGCGCGUUUGACUGCGAGACAGACACGUCGAGCAGGUACGAAAGUAGGUCUUAGUGAUCCGGUGGUUCUGUAUGGAAGGGCCAUCGCUCAACGGAUAAAAGGUACUCCGGGGAUAACAGGCUGAUACCGCCCAAGAGUUCAUAUCGACGGCGGUGUUUGGCACCUCGAUGUCGGCUCAUCACAUCCUGGGGCUGAAGCCGGUCCCAAGGGUAUGGCUGUUCGCCAUUUAAAGUGGUACGCGAGCUGGGUUUAGAACGUCGUGAGACAGUUCGGUCCCUAUCUGCCGUGGACGUUUGAGAUUUGAGAGGGGCUGCUCCUAGUACGAGAGGACCGGAGUGGACGAACCUCUGGUGUUCCGGUUGUCACGCCAGUGGCAUUGCCCGGUAGCUAUGUUCGGAAAAGAUAACCGCUGAAAGCAUCUAAGCGGGAAACUUGCCUCAAGAUGAGAUCUCACUGGGAACUUGAUUCCCCUGAAGGGCCGUCGAAGACUACGACGUUGAUAGGCUGGGUGUGUAAGCGUUGUGAGGCGUUGAGCUAACCAGUACUAAUUGCCCGUGAGGCUUGACC